rnacentral:lncRNA from 1 species
CCACCACGCCCCAGUGCAGUCUCUGUGGGCAGGGAAGGACAGGGUGCCUGCAGUCCAGGCCACCACUCCAGGGCCCAGCUAGAGGCCAGAGCAGAGCCAGGUCCAGGAAGGAGAGAGGUCCAAGCGGGAGGCUGGGAGAGUCCUAAGGUAGCGCAGGACUGCUCUGCUCGUCCCUUCUUUCAUCGCAGGAUCCCGGGAAAUAGUGAGUGUGUGGGGCUGGGCGACCAGAGUGAGGGAGGGCAGAGCUGGGGACACGGGGCUCCCAGAGUCAUCUCUGGAAUCUGUUUCCCAUCUCAUGAGUGUAACAAUGACUAUCCGCCUCUGCUCUGGCCUCUAGCUGGGCCCUGGAGUGGUGGCCUGGACUGCAGGCACCCUGUCCUUCCCUGCCCACAGAGACUUCACUGGGGUGUGGUGGUCACUAGGGAGAAGCCAGGCCAUGUGUGGGUUCAGCAGGGCAGACGCUGUCAUAUGAGGUCCUCGGUUCCUCCUUCUUCCCACGUGGGAAGCAGGGUCUCCGUUCCUGGCCUUUCUGCAUAGCUCUUUCUAGGAGAGAUCCUGGUGGUUUAAUAUGUGGUAAUGUUCAGUAGAAAUAGUGAAAGAGGGGAAACAUUAAAUUUAUCAGAAAGUUUUUUCUCUGAGACUGUCAGAACUAGAAAAGUUCCACAUUAUUACACAGUAAUUAAUCCAGUUUUGGGGAUCAAGUAAGUCCAUGUUUUUGUAUUGACAUUUGGUAAAUAAUGAAAAUUUUCUCUGAGAGUUUUAGUGGGAAUUAAAUCAGAUACUGAUUUUAUUGUUUAACAUCUUCAAAGUUUUCCAUUCAAAUAUUGUUUAUAGUUGUUGCCUACAUUCCCUCUAAAGUAGUAGCUCUUUGUUUUUAAUUUUAAACUUAUUUGGUGAAAUAUGAAGCCUUUUAUUGUUAGGUAUGUUUAAAAUGGUAUCUCGAAAACUAAAAGACAAUGGAAGAGUGUGGGAGGGAGGAUGGAUAUAUCAUUAUGUUCUUAGAAUGGUAUCUGCUAAUGAUAUUAAAUGUGUUAAAACUAAUUAAAAAUUAAAAUAAAAUACUAUCAAUUUGACA